UCUGGUUGAUCCUGCCAGUAGCAUAUGCUUGUCUCAAAGAUUAAGCCAUGCAUGUCUAAGUAUAAAUAGUAUACAGUGAAACUGCGAAUGGCUCAUUAAAACAGUUAUAGCUUAUUUGAUAGUGGAAGCCUACAUGGAUAACCGUAGUAAUUCUAGAGCUAAUACAUGCGUGCAAACCUGACUGAAUUGAAAGGUUGUAUUUAUUAGAUACGAAGCCAAUAUUCCUUCGGGAUUAUUGUGGUGAGUCAUAGUAACUGAUCGAAUCUCCCCAGUGGAGAUAAAUCAUUCAAGUUUCUGCUCUAUCAGCUUUCGAUGGUAGUGUAUUGGACUACCAUGGCAGUCACGGGUAACGGAGAAUUAGGGUUCGAUUCCGGAGAGGGAGCCUGAGAAACGGCUACCACAUCUAAGGAAGGCAGCAGGCGCGUAAAUUACCCAAUCCUGACUCAGGGAGGUAGUGACAAGAAAUAACAACCCGGGGGACUCACGUCCUUACGGGAUUGCAAUGAGAACAAUUUAAAUCACUUAACGAGGAUCAAUUGGAGGGCAAGUCUGGUGCCAGCAGCCGCGGUAAUUCCAGCUCCAAUAGUGUAUAUUAAAGUUGUUGCAGUUAAAAAGCUCGUAGUUGAACUUCUGGCCGCGCGCAGUUCGGCGUCUACGCCAGCUGCGUGCUGCCAUCCGUCUGCAAACUCUACACAACCUUGAGUGGCUUGGUGGGGGGAGUAGACAUUUUACUUUGAAAAAAUUAGAGUGUUUCAAGCAGGUUAUAGCCAGAAUACUUUAGCAUGGAAUAAUGGAAUAGGACUCUUGUCCAUUUGGUUGGUUAUUGGACCAGAGUAAUGAUUAACAGGGACAGUUGGGGGCACUAGUAUUUAAUUGUCAGAGGUAAAAUUCAUGGAUUUAUUAAAGACUAACUUAUGCGAAAGCAUUUGCCAAGGAUGUUUUCAUUAAUCAAGAACGAAAGUUAGGGGAUCAAAGACGAUCAGAUACCGUCCUAGUCUUAACUAUAAACGAUGUCGACUCGGGAUUGGAAAGGUAUGUGUAUCCUUUCCAGCACCGUAUGAGAAACCAUUAAGUCCUUGGAUUCUGGGGGGAGUAUGGUCGCAAGGCUGAAACUUAAAGGAGUUGACGGAAGAGCACCACCAGGCGUGGGACCUGCGGCUUAAUUUGACCCAACACGGGAAAACUUAUUUCAGCAAAACAUGAGUGGGAUUGACAGAUUGAGAGCUCUUUCUUGAUUUUGUGGGGUGUGGUGCAUGGCCGUUCUUAGUUGGUGGAGUGAUUUGUCUGG
rnacentral:rRNA from 1 species